GGCGCUGUGGCUUAGUUGGUUGAAGUGCCUGUCUAGUAGGCAGGUGGUCAUGGGUUCGAAUCCCAGCAGUACCU